GUCCUCUUGUUUAUAUAUGAGGUCUGACCUGCCCGGUGAGAUUUAUUUUAACGGCCGCAGUAUUUUGACUGUGCAAAGGUAGCAUAAUCAUUAGUCUUUUAAUAGGGGGCUGGUAUGAAGGGUUUGACGAGGUGUUUACUGUCUCAUUUAAUUUGUAUUUAGAAUUUAACUUUUCAGUUAAAAGGCUGAAAUGAUAUUGGAAGACGAGAAGACCCUAUAGAGCUUUAUAAUUAAAACUUUAAUUAUUUUUUGUUUAUUAUUUUUUAUUAUUAUUUUAAUUAUUUUGUUGGGGUGACAAAAAUAUAUAAUUAACUUUUUUAUUUAAUUAACAUUGAUUUAUGAUUAUUAGAUCCAUUACUAGUGAUUGUUAGAUUAAGUUACCUUAGGGAUAACAGCGUAAUCUUCCUUCAGAGUUCAUAUUUACGGGAAGGCUUGCGACCUCGAUGUUGGAUUAAGAUAAUAAUUAGGUGUAGCCGCUUAAUAUAUAGGUCUGUUCGACCUUUAAAUUCUU
rnacentral:rRNA from 1 species